AUUGAACGUUGGCGGCAGGCAUAACACAUGCAAGUCGAGCGCGUGGCGGACCGGUGAGUAAUGUAUGGGGGUCUGCCCGAAAGAGGGGGAUGACUACUGGAAACGGUGUCUAAUACCGCAUACUAACGGAUGACCCCGUAUGGGAUUAGCUAGUAGGUGGGGUAAAGGCUCACCUAGGCGACGAUCUCUAGCUGGUCUGAGAGGAUGGUCAGCCAUACUGAGACUGAGACACGGCCUGGACUCCGGCGGGAGGCAGCAGUGGGGAAUAGUGAACAAAGGGCGCAAGGCUGAUGCAGCCAUGCCGCGUGGCGGAAGAAGGCCUUAGGGGUGUAGAGUCCCUUCAGCGGGGAGGCAUUAGACGAAGAAGAAGCAGCGGCUAACUCCGGGCCAGCAGCCGCGGUAAUAC
rnacentral:rRNA from 1 species